AUGAACGCUGGCGGCGUGCCUAAUACAUGCAAGUCGCGCGAACAGACGAGGAGCUUGCUCCUCUGACGUUAGCGGCGGACGGGUGAGUAACACGUGGAUAACCUACCUAUAAGACUGGGAUAACUUCGGGAAACCGGAGCUAAUACCGGAUAAUAUAUUGAACCGCAUGGUUCAAUAGUGAAAGGCGGUUUUGCUGUCACUUAUAGAUGGAUCCGCGCCGCAUUAGCUAGUUGGUAAGGUAACGGCUUACCAAGGCAACGAUGCGUAGCCGACCUGAGAGGGUGAUCGGCCACACUGGAACUGAGACACGGUCCAGACUCCUACGGGAGGCAGCAGUAGGGAAUCUUCCGCAAUGGGCGAAAGCCUGACGGAGCAACGCCGCGUGAGUGAUGAAGGUCUUCGGAUCGUAAAACUCUGUUAUUAGGGAAGAACAAAUGUGUAAGUAACUAUGCACGUCUUGACGGUACCUAAUCAGAAAGCCACGGCUAACUACGUG
rnacentral:rRNA from 1 species